rnacentral:rRNA from 1 species
GUCUGUAUGAAGUUACAUAAAGUCUAACCUGCCCACUGAAUAUAUUUAAAGGCCGCAGUAUAUUAACUGUGCAAAGGUAGCAUAAUCAUUAGUUUUUUAAUUGAAGGCUUGUAUGAAAGGUUGGACAAAGAAUAAUCUGUUUCUAUUUUUAUUUUUGAAUUUAACUUUUAAGUGAAAAGGCUUAAAUAAUUUUAAGGGACGAUAAGACCCUAUAAAUCUUAAUAUUAAUUUAUUUUUAGUUAAUUAAUUAAUCGUAAAUAUAACAAUAAAAUAUUAAAUAUUAUAUUGGGGUGAUAAGAAUAUAAUAAAUAACUGUUCUAAAAUUAAAACAAAAUUAUUUGUCAAAAAAGAUCCUUUAUAAAGAUUAAAAGUUUAAGUUACUUUAGGGAUAACAGCAUUAUUUUUUUUAAGAGUUCUUAUCGAAAAAAAAGUUUGUGACCUCGAUGUUGAAUUAAAAUUUCUUUAUGGUGUAGUAGUUAUAAAAGAGAGUCUGUUCGACUUUU